rnacentral:rRNA from 1 species
GAUGAACGCUGGCGGCGUGCCUAAUACAUGCAAGUCGAGCGAACAGACGAGGAGCUUGCUCCUCUGACAUUAGCGGCUGACGGGUGAGUAACACGUGGAUAACCUACCUAUAAGACUGGGAUAACUUCGGGAAACCGGAGCUAAUACCGGAUAAUAUAUUGAACCGCAUGAUUCAAUAGUGAAAGACGGUUUUGCUGUCACUUAUAGAUGGAUCCGCGCCGCAUUAGCUAGUGGGUAAGGUAACGGCUGACCAAGGCAACGAUGCGUAGCCGACCUGAGAGGGUGAUCGGCCACACUGGAACUGAGACACGGUCCAGACUCCUACGGGAGGCAGCAGUAGGGAAUCUUCCGCAAUGGGCGAAAGCUUGACGGAGCAACGCCGCGUGAGUGAUGAAGGUCUUCGGAUCGUAAAACUCUGUUAUUAGGGAAGAACAAAUGUGUAAGUAACUAUGCACGUCUUGACGGUACCUAAUCAGAAAGCCACGGCUAACUACGUG